rnacentral:pre_miRNA from 1 species
CAUGUACUCCCUCCGUCCGGAAAUACUUGUUAUCAAAAUGAAUAAAAGGGGAUGUAUUUAGAUGUAUUUUAGUUUUAGAUACAUCCUUUUUUGUCCAUUUUGAUGACAAGUAUUUUCGGACGGAGGGAGUAUGUG